rnacentral:rRNA from 1 species
ACUCAAAUGAAUUGACGGGGGCCCGCACAAGCGGUGGAGCAUGUUGUUUAAUACGUCACUAACCGUAGAACCUUACCAGGGCUUGACAUCCGUUGCCCGCCGGUGAAAGCCGGUUUUCCUCGCAAGAGGACAACGUGACAGGUGUUGCAUGGCUGUCGUCAGCUCGUGUCGUGAGAUGUUGGGUUAAGUCCCGCAACGAGCGCAACCCUCACUCCAUGUUGCCAGCGGUUAAAGCCGGGAACUCUUGGAGAACUGCCCGGGUAACCGGGAGGAAGGUGGGGAUGACGUCAAGUCAGCAUGGCCCUUACGCCCUGGGCUACAAACAUGCUACAAUGGACGGUAUACAAAGGGAACCGAUACCGCGAGGUGGAGGCAAUCUCAAAAAUCCGUUCUCAGUUCGGAUCGCAGGCUGCAACUCGCCUGCGUGAAGUUGGAAUCGCUAGUAACCGCAGAUCAGCUAAGCUGCGGUGAAUACGUUCCCGGGCCUUGCACACACCGCCCGU